rnacentral:tmRNA from 1 species
GGGGACGUUACGGAUUCGACAGGGGUCACUUGGGUUGGUAUAGCGUGCCGGAGGGUUGUCUCCGUAUCAACACAACAGUUAUAAUAACUGGCAAAACAAACAACUUCGCAGUAGCUGCCUAAUCGCACUCUGCACCUCUCUCAAGCAUCGCCUAUGUGCCUGAUGCAGAGGUUCAACCUUAAGUAGGAUACGACUGACACUUCCGCCUGGAGUCUGUCAGUAAGAGGUCAAUCGGGCUAGUCAUUAAGUAGGUUGUCCAUUGUCAGCUUAAUGAUGAAACCUUAACAAUGCGACUACGCACGUAGAAGUAUCAAUUGCAGGAUCUUUGGACGCGGGUUCGACUCCCGCCGUCUCCAUAC